CUCGCCUGCAUGAAGCUGGAAUUGCUAGUAAUCGCGGAUCAGCAUGCCGCGGUGAAUACGUUCCCGGGCCUUGUACACACCGCCCGUCACACCAUGAGAGUCGGGAACACCCGAAGUCCGUAGUCUAACCGCAAGGAGGGCGCGGCCGAAGGUGGGUCCGGUAAUUGGGGUGAAGUCGUAACAAGGUACC
rnacentral:rRNA from 1 species